UUGUAAAGUGCUUGAGCAUGUGAAAACCUCCAUAGCACACAUAAAUUCAUUACAGAAGUUCCUUUGGCAGUUGACACGUUUAACUGAAAUUUACAGUCCCUAUAGUUACGUUAUCAAUUUAUUCCAUUACGAAAGCUCAAGGAAAUUACCUCAAUCUCAUUGUAGAACUUAAUGGAUGUAGUGCGAUCACAAUGGGCUUGUUUUUAGACUUCUAAUAGAAUUUAGGACUUGUAUUAAAGCCAAUUGUAGACAUGUGUACAUUAUUUUAGAAUUAUAAUUAAAUUUACAUGGUAGCUAUAAAUAAGGAAUAAACUGUUUGACUUCUUCAAAUUUAAUAUUAAAGAACUUUAAACCUUUUAACCUGAAAGAUACAGGCAGAUACAUACAUUAACAUUGAAAUUUCCAUAUAGAUCAUUAAAACCCCUUCCUACAAGAUUUCUGGAAGCUAUAUCAACACCGAAACUUCCAUAUGGUUCAUUAAUUCUUGAGAGACAAUGUGCCCCACAAAAGUAGCAACCUACUAGAACAAUGACACGGGUUGACAUGGACAAUCUACUCAGAAAAUUGAGGAAAAGAAAUGGAGUUCUUCCCCAAAAUGAUUCCAGUUAUGGUUACUAACUUACUAAACAUAGAAAACGAGAAGUUUUGGGUUAGAAGUUUCACACUUUGUUCAGAGUCCAUUUUGAGAGUUUAAUACAUUGUAAUCCACAUUUAACACGAAGCACCAACCUUUUUCCUUCUGCAGGUUUACCAGCUUUUCGUGACUUUCCUUUCAUUCAAACAGGAGAAAUAAGGCUAUUUAUGCUUGCAUUAUGUCUUUAGUUUAAAAACAUACACUAAUCCAACGAACUAGACUUUAGUUUUUCUAAACUAGAAUUAUUUUGGGGGGAGAGGGGAUCAACCCAGCUUCACGAACAUCAAUGUAAAUUGUAAGGUAAAAAUUCAAAGAUUAGAAGUCUAUCCCAUUAAGGGAAACAGACAAUUAGAGGAAGCAACAAAAAAUUUAAAUCAAUGGCAACUUCACAUUGAAUAUCUGCUACACUUUUGCUCAAUACAAGAUUCAGAUUGUUGGGUUCUGAGAAGCAGAGGCACUAACAUGCGACAUAAAUACGACACAGCACAGACACGAUGAUAUAUUAAUUUUAAAAAAAAGUAGGACACGACGCAUUGGGAACACACUGUUCUUAUUUUUUCUUCUUUUUUUUACAAAAGUAAAUAUAUGUGUGCAUAUUUUGACAUAUUAUGAAAUAUUACCUUUAAGCAUCCAAAUAACAGUCAUACAAUUCAUGAAAAAAACAAUAGAUAAGAUGGCCAACAUCAUAACAUUGUUCAAAUCCCAAUAAGUUGGUAAUUAGUUUAAGACAACAAAACAACAAAUUAGAAUCAAACAAGCCUUUUGCAAAUUUUCCUCAUGCUACAAGAAAGAAUCAAUUAGCUGUUGAUCAUGUGUUUGAGACUUAGUGUAUUGUGCGACUGUGAGAAAUUGUGGUUAAAACCCUAGAAUUUCAAACAAUACGGACUGGACACUGAACCCUAAUGGGCUUAAAAGGGUCAAAGUAGCAUGUUGUGCAUUGUCUAUUUCCGCCUAAAUUUUAGCAGAUCACUUGUCCUUUGCGUCUCCAUUGAGUGUCUUAACACGUUGAAAAAUAAAACUAAUAAAUAAUAAUAAUAAUGGACACAGCAGCUGGCAUGUGUUGGACAUGUGCCGGUAUCCAUCAGGUGAUACUGAACAAUUUUAGGAGUGUUGUGCUUUAUAGGUGGGGUUUGAGAGUUUCAGGACACUCAAUUUUUGCUUAGAUUCAUCUCCAAUUAAGUUAAUGGUCAAAAUGCACAGAAAAGAAAUGGGGCAGGGGAGUUAGAUUUUUGUGUGGUCCUUGCUUGUCUCCAAGAUGCUGUGUCUUUGCAAGGAGAGCCGUAGAAGUGAACUAUUUUUUCUCAGCAGUCAAGUCAUUUCUAGAAGCUAGAAUGAGCCUUCCUGAUGAGUUACGUCUAAGUUGAUAUAUGACACAGAUUCGCUGGCUGCCUACAUUGAACAACUCAUUGUCACACUCCUUUCAACGACAAACUACAGGUGUUGUGGUUUUGCAUGGUUAAGUACUAAGGUUCGGUUAGAGAUAAAAGAAAGAUUUUUUUUAAGGAAAUAGCAGGAGAAAAUCUAAAAAAGGGCCAAAUGUUUGUGCUCUUUUUGCUGUACUCCCUCCUAUAACAUCACCAUCGGAUGAUUAACAGGUGUCAUACAUGGAAAAAACUACACUUAUUCAAACUAGAGACGACCUCUGAUCUGAUGCUAUAUUAACAGCAAAAAACAUCGGAUGAUUAACAGGUGUCAUACAUGGAAAAAACUACACUUAUUCAAACUAGAGACGACCUCUGAUCUGAUGCUAUAUUAACAGCAAAAAACAAAAAAGAAUGGAGCUAAUGGGUACAUAAACAUACAAAUUUUUUAGAGAACUUUCACGAGUCACCUUAGUAGUUUAAACAAUGCAACAAGCUAAGCAGCCUUUUGCCCUCGAGGAAAACAAAUGGUUGAAGUGUUGAAACAUAACAUAAUUUUACCAUUUGGACCUCAGUAAAUGCCCAAAUCUCAC
rnacentral:lncRNA from 1 species